AUGGAGGCCGGGCCUUUGGUGCAGCCGGGCGCUGUGCCAGGGGUGGGGCAGGUAUCUGGGCAGCCUGCCAUUACCUGUGCCCAGCCUGCCGCUCCCUGCGCCCAGCCCACAGCUCUCUGGGCCUGCUGCCCGCUGAGCUGGGCUGGGCCGCGCUGGCUGUGCGGCGCUGCGUUCCCCAUUUGGACACCUCAGCUUCGUGUGGCUGCGUGCCUUGUCUCUUCCAUUCAGAGCUGGAACUGAUCCCAGGUUUCCCUGCAGCCUGUUUUCUAGUAAAAAUUACACAUGUGAUGAGAAAUAGACAUCUU
rnacentral:lncRNA from 1 species